UACGUAGAGGACAAGCGUUAUCCGGAAUUACUGGGCGUAAAGCGCACGCAGGCGGCAGCUUAAGUCCGACGUGAAAUCUCCUGGCUUAACUGGGAGAGGUCGUUGGAAACUGGGCAGCUUGAGGUGGUGAGAGGGGUGCAGAAUUCCCGGUGUAGUGGUGGAAUGCGUAGAUAUCGGGAGGAAUACCAGUGGCGAAAGCGGCGCCCUGGCACUGACCUGACGCUCAUGUGCGAAAGCGUGGGGAGCAAACGGG
rnacentral:rRNA from 1 species